CUGAUGGGCGUUAUCUAGUAUAGUAAACUAAACGUUUAAAACCAUUUUCUCUUCACGAUUGAACUGACGUAGACUAGACAAGUGGGUGGCAAUUAGACGUCGUUCUUUUUGUUUCUGAAGAUCAGUCUGAGUCUACGUUCGAGCGGGUUAAAAUGGCUAAGUUAUCCUUUAUUUUCUUCGUUUUGCUGCCUGUGUUAUUUCUCACCUGCAGAGCUGAAGAAUCAGAAGUAAGAAUGGAAAAUCUCCAAGCUGGAUUCUGGAAUCUGCCUCAACAGAACCCAUUUCGAGAAGACCUUGAACGUAAUCCAGGGACAUUGUUGGGACAGUUCACAAAUAAUGCGGAUAUACAACGAAUGAGGCAAGGAUAUUUACGAGACGGUGUGAGACCCACAGCAGAAAGCUUGGAAGCGAGAAGCAAACGGGCUGCCAAGCAAGGGACCAAUUGAUUCAUAUUCAUUCGAAAGGAAUAAACAAGGCAGGUUUCAACAUAAACCAAGACUAUGGAGUGGUUGAACUCUCACUGAAAAUGGCUCGUUUUAGCUGCUUUCACUACACGGAGACCAGCAGACAACAAAAGUCACAUUAUUUAUGGCCCGCAUAGAACAUUUCUCUUAUAACAUAAUUUGCAUGCUCAAAACAAGGACAACAGCUGAGACAGCAGUGUUUGCUGAUGAAACCAACAUCAGAUGUUAAACACAAAAAAUGCAAUGCUUUUUAUUAGAUCUGAAAACAUAUAUUCAUCACCUGGCAAAAGUAGAAAAAAAAAGAAAGAUCCAAAAUAAUCAACUGGCC